rnacentral:rRNA from 1 species
UACGUAGGGUGCGAGCGUUUAAUCGGAAUUACUGGGCGUAAAGCGUGCGCAGGCGGUUUUGUAAGCCAGAUGUGAAAUCCCCGGGCUUAACCUGGGAAUGGCAUUUGGGACUGCAAGGCUUGAGUGCGGCAGAGGAGACUGGAAUUCCUGGUGUAGCAGUGAAAUGCGUAGAUAUCAGGAGGAACACCGAUGGCGAAGCAGCUGCCUGGCCUAGACUGACGUGAGGCGCGAAAGGACGUGGGGGAGCGAACGGG